rnacentral:rRNA from 1 species
AUUGAACGCUGGCGGCAGGCCUAACACAUGCAAGUCGAGCGGAGCGGCGGACGGGUAAGUAAUGCCUAGGAAUCUGCCUGGUAGUGGGGGAUAACGUCCGGAAACGGGCGCUAAUACCGCAUACUAUCAGAUGAGCCUAGGUCGGAUUAGCUAGUGGGGGGGGUAAAGGCCUACCAAGGCGACGAUCCGUAACUGGUCUGGGAGGAUGAUCAGCCAAACUGGGACUGAGACACGGCCCAGACUCCUACGGGAGGCAGCAGUGGGGAAUAUUGCACAAGGGGCGCAAGCCUGAGGCAGCCAUGCCGCGUGUAUGAAGAAGGCCCUAGGGUUGUAAAGUACUUUCAGUCGGGAGGCGUUACCGACAGAAGAAGCACCGGCUAACUCCGUGCCAGCAGCCGCGGUAAUAC